rnacentral:rRNA from 1 species
AGGGAAUCUUCCGCAAUGGACGAAAGUCUGACGGAGCAACGCCGCGUGAGUGAAGAAGGUCUUCGGAUCGUAAAGCUCUGUUGUUAGGGAAGAACAAGUGCGAGAGUAACUGCUCGUACCUUGACGGUACCUAACCAGAAAGCCACGGCUAACUACGUGCCAGCAGCCGCGGUAAUACGUAGGUGGCAAGCGUUGUCCGGAAUUAUUGGGCGUAAAGGGCUCGCAGGCGGUCUUCUAAGUCUGAUGUGAAAUCUUGCGGCUUAACCGUAAGCGGUCAUUGGAAACUGGAGGACUUGAGUACAGAAGAGGAGAGUGGAAUUCCACGUGUAGCGGUGAAAUGCGUAGAGAUGUGGAGGAACACCAGUGGCGAAGGCGACUCUCUGGUCUGUAACUGACGCUGAGGAGCGAAAGCGUGGGGAGCAAAC